rnacentral:rRNA from 1 species
GACGAACGCUGGCGGCGUGCUUAACACAUGCAAGUCGAACGGAAAGGCCCUGCUUUUGUGGGGUGCUCGAGUGGCGAACGGGUGAGUAACACGUGAGUAACCUGCCCUUGACUUUGGGAUAACUUCAGGAAACUGGGGCUAAUACCGGAUAGGAGCUCCUGCUGCAUGGUGGGGGUUGGAAAGUUUCGGCGGUUGGGGAUGGACUCGCGGCUUAUCAGCUUGUUGGUGGGGUAGUGGCUUACCAAGGCUUUGACGGGUAGCCGGCCUGAGAGGGUGACCGGCCAAAUUGGGACUGGGAUACGGCCCAGCCCCCUAGGGGGGGCAGCAGGGGGGAAUAUUGCAAAAGGGGGGGAAGCCUGAUGCAGCAACGCCGGGGGGGGGAUGCGGGCCUUCGGGUUGUAAACCGCUUUCGCCGGGGACGAAGGGUGGGUGACGGUAAUGGGUAAAGAAGCACCGGCUAACUACGU